UAAGGUGGUGGUCUCACUGACACUUGU
rnacentral:piRNA from 1 species